rnacentral:lncRNA from 1 species
UAAGGCUUAGGUCAAGGGCUAUGAAAGAAAGGAUAGGAAAUACUCAAGCUUGGGACAUACCAAAGUGUCUUCCUUGUGAAAGCAGCAAGCUCUCCUCUUGAAUUGAUCUUUGUUGUUUGUUCGUGGCAUCCUGGACCCGUGCGAUAAUGGAAGGAUUUAGAAAUUACAUCCUCUUUGAUUCUUUUUCUUUUCUUUUAUUUUUCUAAAACUUUGUUUCUUUUUUCUUUCUCUUUUCUACAAAUCCAGCACACAUACCUCGAUACACACCACUUUCUUGAUGUAGAGCUCGAAUUAUCUUUGUCUUCAUCACUUUGGUAUUCCCCAAACUAUAGGGUAUAGCUGUAAUGGGGUAAAUAUCUCAUAUUGAGAUAAAAGGAUAUGGGGAAAAAAAAUGUGAG